rnacentral:rRNA from 1 species
GAUGAACGCUAGCUACAGGCUUAACACAUGCAAGUCGAGGGGCAGCGCAGUGUAGCAAUACAUGGGCGGCGACCGGCGCACGGGUGCGUAACGCGUAUCCAACCUUCCCGUUACUCAGGGAUAGCCUUCCGAAAGGGAGAUUAAUACCUGAUGGUGUUCAAAUUCCGCAUGUUAUUUGAACUAAAGAUUCAUCGGUAACGGAUAGGGAUGCGUGACAUUAGAUAGUUGGGGGGGUAACGGCCCACCAAGUCUACGAUGUCUAGGGGUUCUGAGAGGAAGGUCCCCCACACUGGAACUGAGACACGGUCCAGACUCCUACGGGAGGCAGCAGUGAGGAAUAUUGGUCAAUGGACGAGAGUCUGAACCAGCCAAGUAGCGUGCAGGAUGACGGCCCUCUGGGUUGUAAACUGCUUUUAGUUGGGAAUAAAAAGAGGGACGUGUCCCUUAUUGUAUGUACCAUCAGAAAAAGGACCGGCUAAUUCCGUG